AGAGUUUGAUCAUGGCUCAGAAUGAACGCUGGCGGCAGGCCUAACACAUGCAAGUCGAGCGGGGACUUCGGUCCUAGCGGCGGACGGGUGAGUAACGCGUGGGAACAUACCCUUUGGUACGGAAUAGCCUCGGGAAACUGAGAGUAAUACCGUAUGUGGUCGUAAGACGAAAGAUUUAUCGCCAAAGGAUUGGCCCGCGUUGGAUUAGGUAGUUGGUGGGGUAAUGGCCUACCAAGCCGACGAUCCAUAGCUGGUUUGAGAGGAUGAUCAGCCACACUGGGACUGAGACACGGCCCAGACUCCUACGGGAGGCAGCAGUGGGGAAUCUUAGACAAUGGGCGCAAGCCUGAUCUAGCCAUGCCGCGUGAUCGAUGAAGGCCUUAGGGUUGUAAAGAUCUUUCAGUGGGGAAGAUAAUGACGGUACUUAAGAAGAAGCC
rnacentral:rRNA from 1 species